UAGUGGCGCACGGGUGAGUAACACGUGAGCAACCUGCCCUGAAGUGGGGGAUAGCUCGCCGAAAGGCGAAUUAAUACCGCAUGUGGUGGUAACACUAAAGCAGCAAUGCGCUUCAGGAUGGGCUCGCGGCCUAUCAGCUUGUUGGUAAGGUAACGGCUUACCAAGGCAAUGACGGGUAACUGGUUUGAGAGGAUGAUCAGUCACACUGGAACUGAGACACGGUCCAGACACCUACGGGUGGCAGCAGUCGAGUAUCAUUCGCAAUGGGGGAAACCCUGACGGUGCGACGCCGCGUGGAGGAUGACGGCCUUCGGGUUGUAAACUCCUGUCAUGAGGGAGCAAAGCUCUUCGGAGCCUGAUAGUACCUCAAGAGGAAGGAACGGCAAACUCUGUGCCAGCAGCCGCGGUAAUACAGAGGUUCCAAGCGUUGUUCGGAUUCAUUGGGCGUAAAGGGUGCGUAGGCGGCGUGGUAAGUCAAAUGUGAAAUUACGGAGCUCAACUCCGUACUGCAUUCGAUACUGCCAUGCUAGAGGACUGGAGAGGAGACUGGAAUUCACGGUGUAGCAGUGAAAUGCGUAGAUAUCGUGAGGAAGACCAGUGGUCGAAGGCGAGUCUCUGGACA
rnacentral:rRNA from 1 species